rnacentral:rRNA from 1 species
GAUCAUGGCUCAGGAUGAACGCUAGCGACAGGCUUAACACAUGCAAGUCGAGGGGCAGCGAGGGAGUGGCAACACUUCUGUCGGCGACCGGCGCACGGGUGAGUAACGCGUAUGCAACCUGCCCUUCACAGGGGGGUAUAACCCGGGGUAGAAAUUCCGACUAAUACCGCAUACGUCCUCAGGGGGUCACUCCCCGUGGGGUAUGAAACGAAUUAUCGGUGAAGGAUGGGCAUGCGUGAUAUUAGGUUAGG